rfam:Gossypium raimondii Chr01_contig_750, whole genome shotgun sequence.
AAGCCAUGAUAAGAGCACUUACGUAGCAUCAAUUUGAAGAGCUCCCACGCUUCGUAUAAUGACUCUCCCUCGAGUUGUUGAAAGUUAGUGAUAUCCAUUCGAAGCUU